rnacentral:rRNA from 1 species
UACGUAGGGGGCAAGCGUUGUCCGGAAUCAUUGGGCGUAAAGCGCGUGUAGGCGGCUCGAUAAGUCUGCUGUGAAAGUCCAGGGCUCAACCCUGGGAUGCCGGUGGAUACUGUCGAGCUCGAGUCCGGAAGAGGCGAGUGGAAUUCCUGGUGUAGCGGUGAAAUGCGCAGAUAUCAGGAGGAACACCAAUUGCGAAGGCAGCUCGCUGGGACGUUACUGACGCUGAGACGCGAAAGCGUGGGGAGCAAACAGG